AGGCAGAAACGAUCUUCCGAUUACCCUGUUUGUGCGACAUUCACUCGAUAUUCUGGAAAGUUCUUCUCAGCAGUUGUUGAUGGCUUGUGUUCUAGGUACAAGGGUGUUAUUCACAAGUAUGGCAUGGGUUGUCUUCUUAAUUUUGUCCGGACCGAGGUUCCUCUUAGGCUAGUUAAGUGGCUUGCAUCUAGGUUCGAUGUUCCUGCUUCUGAGUUUCAGUUGAAAAGGAAAUUCAUACCGUUAACUAAGUAUGAUAUCCAUGAUAUCCUUGACCUCCCAGUAGACUGUGAGCCCCUUGUUUCAGAUCCUGAAGCUGGUCGUGAUUUUAUCCUUUCUCAUUUCAAUCUUACCAGUAUCCCACCAGUGUCCUUUUUUGCCAACAAGCUAAAAUCUGCAGAAGUUGAUUUGUCUGAUGAGGACGUGUUCAUUUGUUUCAUGAUUGUGGCUUUCUCUACUUUCCUUUGUCCCAACUCUAGUCUUAGUCCUAGUCCGAAGUACCUCCACAUCUUUCAGGAUUGUCAGUCUGUGUGUGCCUAUGAUCUUUCUAGUUUUGUUUACGAGUGGCUUUUGAGUAGCAUCAAAAAAUUCAAGGAUGCUACUAAAGUUGCUUCCAAAAGAUCAGUGACCUUCAGUGGAUGCCAUUACGCUUUUGCUGUAGCUUACCUUGAUCAUUUGAACUUUUGGCUUCACUCUGUACCUGAUGUGAAACCUCGUAUUCUUGCAUGGAGGGGUAACAAAGUCAAGCAAUUCGCAGAGCUUGACCGAAAUAACAGCCGCUCUUUUGGAAAGAGGCCACUG
rnacentral:rRNA from 1 species